rnacentral:tRNA from 3 species
GCUGAUAUGGCUCAGUAGGUAGAGCGUCGCCUUGGUAAGGCGGAGGUCACGGGUUCAAAUCCCGUUAUCAGCU